rnacentral:lncRNA from 1 species
UUACUUAAAAUCAUCAAAAACAUUAAAACAUUUCAUGAAAACAUGGUUUUACCCAUCUAGAGGUCUCCGACAUCCGAGAUUCCACCGGACGGUAGGAAUUCCGAUACCGGAGUCUAGCCGGGUAUUACAUUCUCCCCCCCUUAAGAACAUUCGUCCCCGAAUGUUCCUCAACUAACACAUAGCAUGGCAUACACAUAUCAUACACAUAAAACACAUGAAACAUAUAAGAAACUAACCUUAGAAAAGAUAAGGGUAUUGCUGGAGCAUGGACUCCCGUGUCUCCCAAGUGCACUCUUCCAUAUUGUGGUGGUUCCAUAGGACUUUCACCAUCGGGAUUUCCUUGUUUCUCAGCUUUCUGAUCUGGGUGUCUAUGAUCCGCACUGGCUGCUCAACAUAGGUGAGAUCCUCUUGGAUCUCCACAUCAGGCUCACUAAGAACCUUGCCCGGAUCUGACACAAAUUUCCUCAACAUAGAAACAUGGAAAACCGGAUGGAUUCUUGCCAUUGAAGCAGGGAAAUCUAGC